rnacentral:lncRNA from 1 species
AAAUGGGCCUCCAACAAGUCUCAAAUGUCAUUUCUGAACAUAUUCCAAUGGCCAAAGUGAUUACAAAUGGUUAUUUUAAAAGGUCAAAAUUUCACUUCACUUGAAAUUAAUUCAAGUAAGUCAAAAAAUGCCAUUUUGAUCUAUGAUGUUUUGGUGAGUGAUGGUUACAUUUUUGGAAAGAGGAGGUCAAAUGUGACUUGUUGGAAAAAAC